rnacentral:rRNA from 1 species
GCUGCCCGGGACUGAGUUGUUUCGAGAAAAGCGGAGAUUGCGAUGUUGAAUGUUUUCGGAUGUUCUUU